UGGAGUCUGUCUCCUCUGCGGAGAUCCAGCCGCGCCCUCCUCCGAGGCCCUGCUCAAAACAACGCGCUUUUAAGUCAGGGCUCAGGAAAUGCAACGAAGUUCAUCAGAAUACAUGAUGAUUGAAAGAUCUGGAGCAAAGAGAGAGGACAUCCAAGGAACUGCACCGGAAAACCGAAGAAGGCAGAUAACCAUCAUACAUUUUGUCUAGUUCCGAAAUAUUUGAAACAUUUUUGUUCCAAGUUUAAAAGAAUGCAUCCUCAAUGGCGUAUAUUUGAAUUUAGUCAAGGACACUGAUAUUUGAAGACUGUAAAGAAAAAUUUAUUUAAAACUCAACCACCCAGCUGUGUAUGGGGGCACACAAUAGGAGGAGGAAGGACAAUGAGAACCAUCCAUUGGGCUUCUAACUUUGAGAAUUGUAAGAUCAAGUCUCGAUAACCUCUAAUUUGCCUAAAAUUUGUCAACAUAGACGUUGUGGUGGACAGUCUUGAUAAAGGCAUCUCUUCCACAGAAACCUAAUCAGCUUUCUGAGGACCAGUAGGAGAGUAUGGCCUUCGCAAAGCUAAAAUGGGGAAAACAGCUUGAGAAUGUUAUGAAGCAAGACAGACUGACGUGAAAGAUAUUUUCAUCUCUGAUCACUCGGUGCCAACUCAGGGCAAAGUUAGGAAAACAGUGCAUGCUGUAAAGUAAUACUGAAUGGAACAGACCCAAAGUUCUGAAUAUAACAUUCAAAUUAUGUGAAGAUUUAAUUUGUUCCUGGAGGGAAAGCCAAUCGAAAUCACAAGUUCAGUGAGAAGAUUGUACCGGAGACCUUCAUACAUGUUUAUUUUCUCCAAUGCAAGAGGUAGCUGAAAAGAUAAGCCCCUUGUGAUUGGAAAAUUUAUACCUUUGCCAGCACAAAUGAUUUUUUCACACCAAGCAUGUAUUAGCACAAAGACUGGCAAUCUCUUUUCCAAAGACAGAGAGUGCUCCAACAUGCUUUUUCCUUGUUCAACAGGUAGCAACCAACUUUGUUUCAUGUAAGGGUUAAAUAAUCUUUCUUUCAAAACUACUAUUGACCAAUAAGUUACUACUUUAAUCAAAGAAGCAGGCUAGGGAUUUAGCUCGGUAGCACCACACCUACCUUGCAAACACAAGGUCCUGAGUUCAAUCCCCGGUACCAGG
rnacentral:lncRNA from 1 species